rnacentral:rRNA from 1 species
GGAGGGUGCAAGCGUUAUCCGGAUUCACUGGGUUUAAAGGGUGCGUAGGCGGAAAGGUAAGUCCGUUGUGAAAUCUCCGAGCUUAACUCGGAAAUUGCGGUGGAUACUAUCAUUCUUGAAUACUGUGGAGGUUAGCGGAAUAUGUCAUGUAGCGGUGAAAUGCAUAGAUAUGACAUAGAACACCAAUUGCGAAGGCAGCUGGCUACACAGAUAUUGACGCUGAGGCACGAAAGCGUGGGGAUCAAACAGGAUUAGAUACCCUGGUAGUCCACGCCCUAAACGAUGAUUACUCGACAUUUGCGAUACACAGCAAGUGUCUGAGCGAAAGCAUUAAGUAAUCCACCUGGGAAGUACGACCGCAAGGUUGAA